GGGCUUGGGGCGGUCUCCCGCGUGGGUGUCCGUCCCCCCGCGGCCGUACUGCCGGCGCCGGGGCCGGCUCUGCACGUUUCGUAAGGCCUUACAUGGCUGCAUCCCCAGCCACCGAGGACCCGAGCCCGCCGGCCGCCCUCCCGCGCUCUCCCGCCUGGGAACUGCGAGGCCAGUGCUGCACCUCCAAGGGGGGCGCCUGCGGACUCCACCAAGCUGGCUUCCCCCGUACUGCAGGCCCCUGCAGGAGCAGAGGAAUCGGACCCGGGUCUGCAGGCGAGGGACCGAAGGCGUCUUUAGACCUGACAGGGCUGGAAGAGACUUGAGCUUGCAAGAAAAAUAAACCAGAGAAUUUUGAAGGAGGAAUACAGAAAAGGAAUGAUGUUAACACAGAGAAACUCCAAAGUGGAGAGAAACAGAGUUGUGGUAGUAGAUCCCUGAAGACUUUUCACUUCACCAGAAAAUUGAAGUGACAUCCUUCACCAGAAAAUUGGCUGAUGGUAAGAGGCAUUGGGAUGGAGCUGAAGACUCAUGGAGCCUAGAGAAUUCUUUGCAAGGGCUGGGAGGAAAGCAACAGGAAGCUAACUCCAGAUGGAUAACCAUGGAAGCAGGAAGGGCCCGGAUAGGGUUGUGGAGUGGGAUACUUAGGGGGUCCUGUGGUACAGUAGUGACACUUUUUCUAGCAAAACUUGGCAAUCCUGGAGUGAGCAGGUGGUGGGUGAUCUAGAGUGAGAGUUGCCACUGGGGACACUGGCAGGUAAAAGGGCCAAGUGUCCCCAGGAUGUUAGCAAGGGCAGUGCAGAGUAGCUGGUGUGGGUCCAGAUUGAGCAGGACAGUGAGGGAGGCCGGGAAUGUGCUUGUGCUUGGUCCCAUGUGGUUAUAUCAGCCACCAUGACAUUGACCUUCAUAUAUUGAGUUCUUGGAAAUUCUUUGUUUAGCCAAGGAAGAUAGUUAUUUCAGCAUAGGCCAAGCCACAAAAUGAUAGAAUGAGGGUUUACGUUUUUUGUAGAUUGUUCCUUGUCUUGCAGCUCUAACUUAUCUGGAUGAGCCACCAGUGGGACGGUAAUGGCUCCAAAGAAAUGAGUCUCCCUUUUCCUCUGGGGGUUUACCCACUGUCUGACAUUCUUGGCACCAAUUCCUUUCUCAGGUGGGGAGAAUGUGAAUUACUUCUCCUAGAGCUAACAUCUUUUCUAUUCAGCAAAGUCCAAUCACAAGUCAGUUCUUUGAUAUCUCAGGUGGGUUCUGGGAGCAAACUGGCCAAGGACUCCAAAAAGCUACCCUACACUCACUCCUCCAGUACAAAGACAUCCUAUAAUGUUAGAAACACAUGCUUCACUCUGUAACCACUGCUUCUAGCCCUCUCAGGAGGGUGGCUUUGAGAAAUCAUUCCUCAAGAGAAAGUGAGGAAGAGGUAAUUGAAGGCAGGAAUGUGUUUCCAAAAAGAUAGUGUAUUAGUUUCCUAUGGCUGCCAUAACAAAGUACCACAAACUGAGUGAUUAGAAGUUUAUUGACUUACAGUUUUGGAGGCCAGAAGACAGAGAUCAAGGUGUCAACAGGACCAGCUCCUCCUGUUAGCUUUGAGGGAAGGAUCUGUUCCAGGCAUCUCUGCUUGGCUUGUAGAUAGAUAGCCAUUUCUCCCUACUUUCCUUUUCAUCAUCUCCCCUCUAUGCCUGUCCAUGCUGGUGUGUCCAAAGCUCCCCCUUCUAUUAGAUUAGAGUCUAUCCUAUGACCUCAUCCUAACCUAACCCUAAUUACAUCUGCAAUGACUCUAUUUCCCAAUAAGGUUAUAUUCUGAGGUACUAAGGGUUAGGAAUUCAACCUAUGAAUUUGGGGGAUACAUAAUUCAAUCCAUGACAGAUGGAUUGGCAUAGUGUCUUCUUUCUUUUCCCUGACCACUUGCCUGCUAUAGACUCUCAUGACCAUCUUUGUGAAGUAUUGAAAUUUCCUCCCUUGAAUCCCUGUCUCAUAUCCUUCAACCUCCAGUCCACCUUGCAUAUGCCUGUCAAAUUCAUCUUUCUAGAAUUUCCACUUCUAUCAUGCAUCCUGAUUACAAACCAUCCAUGGUUCUCCAUUGCCUGAGGAAGUGGUUCCAAACUUGCCAGUUUACUGGACUCACAUAGAAAGUUUAAAGGCAUAUAGGUUCCUGGGCUCUUCUCUGAUAUUCUGAUUUAAAGUCUGGGGUAGGGUCUCUGGCAUUGAAAACAAAUCUCUAGAUGACUUUGAUCAUGGAAUCCACUGAUAUAAAAAAGAAAUUCAAACUCUCCACACUCUGGUUGAAGUUUACACUUCCACUUCAUUAUUCUAGAACCCUUUGCCUACCUACCAGCGCCCAACAUGCUGUGGUGAUCCUGCCCCAGUGUCAUCUUCGUACUGGACACCUGAGGAGGUGCUCCCUCCCCUAUUCCUCCAACUGGCUCUUGUCCUGCUCUCGUCCCACCUUUUCUUUCAAGUUUCCUGCCACUCUACCCCACUGUCACCUCACCCUUCUUCACCUCCUGUAUCUUCCUGUCUAUGUUACUGCCUAGGCAGAGCUCUCCACCUUCUGAAGGUUCAUAGAGCUUAGAAUCCCAGGGCCAGGAGGGCCCUGGACAUCCUACGUGCCUCAAAGAUCUUCCAAGUUCAGAGGAAGAAAUUGAGUUCCCUAUGUAAUACUUCAAGGCCAUAAGUGGUAGAGCUGGGAAACGGUUCAGGGUGUGACUAUAAGCAACAGAAUUGCAUGAGAUGCUUAGGCUUCUACAUCUCCUUCCUCAC